rnacentral:rRNA from 1 species
CCUACGGGUGGCAGCAGUAGGGAAUAUUGCUCAAUGGGGGAAACCCUGAAGCAGCAACGCCGCGUGGAGGAUGAAGGUUCUCGGAUUGUUAACUCCUUUUGUUCAAGAAGAUAAUGACGGUAUCUGACGAAUAAUCACCGGCUAACUCCGUGCCAGCAGCCGCGGUAAUACGCAGGGUGCAAGCGUUACUCGGAAUCACUGGGCGUAAAGAGCGCGUAGGCGGGAUAGCAAGUCAGAUGUGAAAUCCUAUGGCUUAACCAUAGAACUGCAGUUGAAACUGGUAUUCUAGAGUAUGGGAGAGGUAGGUGGAAUUCGUGGUGUAGGGGUAAAAUGCGUAGAGAUCAAGAAGAAUACUCAUUGCGAAGGCGACCUGCUAGAACCUAACUGACGCUGAUGCGCGAAAGCGUGGGGAGCGAACAGGAUUAGAUACCCGUGUAGUC